AAUAGGUAAGGAAUAGGUAAGGAAUAGGUAAGGAAUAGGUGAGGAAUAGGUGAGGAAUAGGUAAGGAAUAGGUGAGGAAUAGGUGAGGAAUAGGUGAGGAAUAGGUGAGGAAUAGGUAAGGAAUAGGUAAGGAAUAGGUAAGGAGUAGGUAAGGAGUAGGUAAGGAGUAGGUAAGGAAUAGGUAAGGAAUAGGUAAGGAGUAGGUAAGGAGUAGGUAAGGAAUAGGUAAGGAAUAGGUGAGGAAUAGGUGAGGAGUUUCACAAUAUAUAUUAUUUUUAUGGAAUAAAAGCAGACAAUGGUAGAACACUUCAUUGUGAGGCUGAAUAUCAGGGAACAGAUAAAUAUCAGGGAACAGAUACAUAUCAGGGAACAGAUAAUUAUCAGGGAACAGAUAAAUAUCAGGGAACAGAUACAUAUCAGGGAACAGAUACAUAUCAGGGAACAGAUACAUAUCAG
ensembl:lncRNA